rnacentral:rRNA from 1 species
UAUACAAGUGAUUAAGCUUAUAUUCUUAGGUAAAAAGACAGUUAGGUUUAAAAAUUAAAUUCGUUUAUUAAACAUCUAUAAAAAAGUAAAAUUUGUAUAUAGAUAGCUAAUCUAAAAAUAACAUAUAUAAAUUGUGCUGAAGCUGUGAUAGUCUUGAGGGAAACUGGGAUUAGAUACCCCAUUAUUCUUGAUUGUAAAUAUAAUUAAAUUUACCAGAGUACUAUGAAUAGUUAAAAAUUUAAAACUCAAAGGGCUUGGCGGUGUUUUAGACCUAUCAGGGGAACCUGUCUCAUAAUYGACAAUCCACGUAAUAUCUGACCUUAUUUUGUAAUCAGUUUGUAUACCGUUGUCGUCAGGUAACUUUUAAAAAUGUAGAAGUUAGCAAUUAAAAUUAAUAUCGAUUAAGACGUCAGAUCAAGGUGCACCCUAUAAUAAGGAGAGGAUGGGUUACAGUUAUAAAAUUUAUAAUUACGGAAAUUUAAGUGAAAUUAUUAUUUGAAGGAGGACUGAAAGUAACCUAACUGACUUUUUUACUUUGAAU